rnacentral:misc_RNA from 1 species
UCCAGCCAAGCUCCAGCUGUCUAG